UACGUAGGGUGCAAGCGUUGCCCGGAUUUAUUGGGCGUAAAGGGCGCGUAGGCGGCCGUGCAAGUCAUGCGUGAAAUCUCCCGGCUCAACUGGGAGGGGUCGUGUGAUACUGCUUGGCUUGAGCAAGGUAGGGGGCAGUGGAAUUCCCGGUGUAGUGGUGGAAUGCGUAGAUAUCGGGAGGAACACCGAUGGCGAAGGCAGCCUCCUGGGCCAAUACUGACGCUCAUGCACGAAAGCGUGGGGAGCAAACAGG
rnacentral:rRNA from 1 species